rfam:Thioploca ingrica DNA, complete genome.
GUCAACUACCCCGCCCUAAAGGGCGGAGCUUGAAAAAGCGAGGUUGACCAGACUAAGCCGCUAGUCAGAGUGGCUACGCCAUACCGGGGUCGUUAAGACUUACCAGCAGAUGCUUCCUGAGUCUGCUGCUCUAAAAGGCUUUAAUCAAGCUGGGGAGAAAGGUAAAGCCCCGCAGGUUUUAGUCGUUGCUGGUAACAGCAAGAGCCGCUGUGUGGCCUUGUCGAAGGGAGAUGGC